GAGUGGCAGACGGGUGAGUAACGCGUGGGAACAUACCCCCCGGUUCGGAAUAACUCAGGGAAACUUGAGCUAAUACCGGAUACGUCCAAGGUUUUCAUCGACCUUGGAGAAAGAUUUAUCGCCGGAGGAUUGGCCCGCGUCUGAUUAGCUUGUUGGUGAGGUAAUGGCUCACCAAGGCGACGAUCAGUAGCUGGUCUGAGAGGAUGAUCAGCCACAUUGGGACUGAGACACGGCCCAAACUCCUACGGGAGGCAGCAGUGGGGAAUAUUGGACAAUGGGCGAAAGCCUGAUCCAGCCAUGCCGCGUGAGUGAUGAAGGCCUUAGGGCUGUAAAGCUCUUUUACCCGGGAAGAUAAUGACGGUACCGGGAGAAUAAGCCCCGGCUCACUUCGUGCCAGCAGCCGCGGUAAUACGAAGGGGGCUAGCGUUGUUCGGAAUUACUGGGCGUAAAGCGCACGUAGGCGGAUCCUUAAGUCAGGGGUGAAAUCCCGAGGCUCAACCUCGGAACUGCCUUUGAUACUGGGGAUAUCGAGUCCGGGAGAGGUGAGUGGAACUGCGAGUGUAGAGGUGAAAUUCGUAGAUAUUCGCAAGAACACCAGUGGCGAAAGGCGGCUCACUGGCCCGGUACUGACGCUGAGGUGCGAAAGCGUGGGGAGCAAACAGGGAUUAGAUACCCUGGUAGUCCACGCCGUAAACGAUGGAUGCUAGCCGUUAGACAGCUUGCUGUUUAGUGGCGCAGUUAACGCGUUAAGCAUCCCGCCUGGGGAGUACGGUCGCAAGAUUAAAACUCAAAGGAAUUGACGGGGGCCCGCACAAGCGGUGGAGCAUGUGGUUUAAUUCGAAGCAACGCGAAGAACCUUACCAGCUCUUGACAUGUCUCGUAUGGGGACCGGAGACGGUUUCCUUCAGUUCGGCUGGCGAGAACACAGGUGCUGCAUGGCUGUCGUCAGCUCGUGUCGUGAGAUGUUGGGUUAAGUCCCGCAACGAGCGCAACCCUCGCCCUUAGUUGCCAUCAUUCAGUUGGGCACUCUAGGGGGACUGCCGGUGAUAAGCCGAGAGGAAGGUGGGGAUGACGUCAAGUCCUCAUGGCCCUUACGGGCUGGGCUACACACGUGCUACAAUGGCGGUGACAAUGGGAUGCUGAGGGGCGACCCCGAGCAAAUCUCAAAAAGCCGUCUCAGUUCGGAUUGCACUCUGCAACUCGAGUGCAUGAAGGUGGAAUCGCUAGUAAUCGUAGAUCAGAACGCUACGGUGAAUACGUUCCCGGGCCUUGCA
rnacentral:rRNA from 1 species